rnacentral:rRNA from 1 species
UGGGGAAUAUUGCACAAUGGGCGAAAGCCUGAUGCAGCCAUACCGCGUGGGUGAAGAAGGCCUUAGGGUUGUAAAGCCCUUUCAGCAGGGAAGAAGGGUGCGAGGUUAAUACCCUCGUAUUUUGACGAUACCUCAUUAGCAAGCACCGGCUAACUCCGUGCCAGCAGCCGCGGUAAUACGGAGGGUGCAAACGUUGCUCGGAAUUAUUGGGCGUAAAGCGCGCGUAGGCGGCUUGUUAAGUCGAGUGUGAAAGCCCUAGGCUCAACCUAGGAAGUGCGCUCGAUACUGGCAAGCUUGAGUACGGGAGAGGGUAGCGGAAUUCCCGGUGUAGAGGUGAAAUUCGUAGAUAUCGGGAGGAACACCAGUGGCGAAGGCGGCUACCUGGACCGAUACUGACGCUGAGGCACGAAAGCGUGGGGAGCAAACAGG